AUGGGCCCGCGGCCAUCAGCUAGUUGGUGAGGUAACGGCUCACCAAGGCGAUGACGGGUAGCUGGUCUGAGAGGACGACCAGCCACACUGGAACUGAGACACGGUCCAGACACCUACGGGUGGCAGCAGUCGAGAAUUUUUCUUAAUGGGGGAAACCCUGAAGGAGCGACGCCGCGUGGAGGAUGAAGGUCUUCGGAUUGUAAACUCCUGUCAUUGGUGAACAAGGUCCUCGGAGUAACUGCCGUUGGAUUUGAUAGUAGCCGAAGAGGAAGAGACGGCUAACUCUGUGCCAGCAGCCGCGGUAAUACAGAGGUCUCAAGCGUUGUUCGGAUUCAUUGGGGCGUAAAGGGUGCGUAAGCGGUGAGGUAANUCUGGUGUGAAAUCCCCGGGGCUCAACCC
rnacentral:rRNA from 1 species